AAAGAUUUAGUUAAAUAAUAACAUUAGAGUGUCAAACUAAAAUUACUAGGAAGUAAUCUUUA
rnacentral:tRNA from 1 species